rnacentral:rRNA from 1 species
GACGAACGCGGGCGGCGUGCCUAAUACAUGCAAGUCGAGCGAAGUUUUUCUGGUGCUUGCACUAGAAAAACUUAGCGGCGAACGGGUGAGUAACACGUAAAGAACCUGCCUCAUAGACUGGGACAACUAUUGGAAACGAUAGCUAAUACCGGAUAACAGUAUUUCUCGCAUGAGAGAUAUUUAAAAGUUGGUUAUGCUAACACUAUGAGAUGGCUUUGCGGUGCAUUAGCUAGUUAGUGGGGUAAAGGCCCACCAAGGCGACGAUGCAUAGCCGACCUGAGAGGGUGAUCGGCCACACUGGGACUGAGACACGGCCCAGACUCCUACGGGAGGCAGCAGUAGGGAAUCUUCCGCAAUGGGCGAAAGCCUGACGGAGCAACGCCGCGUGAGUGAAGAAGGAUUUCGGUUCGUAAAGCUCUGUUGUUAGGGAAGAAUGGAUAUGUAGUAACUAUACAUAUAAGAGACGGUACCUAACCCAGAAA